CGCUGGCGGCGUGCUUCAUACAUGCAAGUCGAACGAGAAAUCAACUUCGGUUGGUGGAAAGUGGCGGACGGGUGAGUAAUGUGUAGAGAAUCUGCCCUUUAGCGGGGGACAACAGUUGGAAACGACUGCUAAUACCCCAUAUGCGCGUAGUUGCAAUACUAUUCGUGAAAACUCCGGUGCUAAAGGAUGAGUCUGCAUCUGAUUAGCUAGUUGGCGGUGUAAUGGACCACCAAGGCGACGAUCAGUAGCUGGUUUGAGAGGAUGAUCAGCCACAAUGGGACUGAGACACGGCCCAUACUCCUACGGGAGGCAGCAGUAGGGAAUUUUGCGCAAUGGGCGAAAGCCUGACGCCAGCAACGCCGCGUGAUUGAAUAAGCCCUUCGGGGUGUAAAGAUCUGUCAGUGGGGACGAAACUUGACGGUACCCACAGAGGAAGCAUCGGCUAACUCCGUGCCAGCAGCAGC
rnacentral:rRNA from 1 species